GUCAUAGCUCGGUGGUAGAACAUCUGCUUCGCAUGCUGAUGGUCCCAGGUUCAAUAUUUGGCACCUCCAGGUAGGAAUA